GACGAACGCUGGCGGCGUGCCUAACACAUGCAAGUCGAGCGGAGGCAUACGAGGAGCAAUCUGAGGAUGCCUGAGCGGCGGACGGGUGAGUAACGAGUGAGCAACCUGCCUUCCACAGGGGGAUAACGUACCGAAAGGUACACUAAUACCGCAUGAGACCACGGUACCGAUGGCAGUGGGGUCAAAGGAGCAAUCCGGUGGGAGACGGGCUCGCGUCCGAUUCGGGAGUUGGCGGGGUAACGGCCCACCAAGCCCGUGAUCGGUAGCCGGCCUGAGAGGGUGAACUGCCACAUUGGAACUGAGAGACGGUCCAAACUCCUACGGGAGGCAGCAGUGGGGAAUAUUGGGCAAUGGGGGGAACCCUGACCCAGCAACGCCGCGUGAGGGAAGAAGGUUUUCGGAUUGUAAACCUCUGUUCUUGGAGAAGAGAAGAAGACGGUAUCCAAGGAGGAAGCCCCGGCUAACUACGUGCCAGCAGCCGCGGUAAUAC
rnacentral:rRNA from 1 species